GCAGCUUCAGGAUUUAAAGCUACUAAAGCCUUUGAUAAGUCUCCUUCCUGGAGUUCCAUCUUUGCCUGCAUGUAAUGCUGGAGGUUCACAGUUGCCAUUGUUAGACCCUACUUUAAGCAAGUUCUGCUCUGGUGGAGGUAAUGACAUUUGAUUGACAACUCUGACAGGGUUUCUCUCAGACAUCAUUGGAACAGUUGAAAUUGUUACGCUCUUCUCUUCAGGCCCUGGCAGUGCAAGCCUUGCACUGCAUGAAAGAAAGUUGACACAUGUGAAACAUGCAGUUUACCUCUUUGAAAGCCAAGUCAAGAUGACAGGUUGCACUAUCAACUAUAUUCUUAUUCAAACUCGCCUAAUGCGCAUUUGAAUUUUUAGAUAAGCAUUUUCAAAUGUGAAUUUGGUAUUUUGGGUCUCAAAUGUGGUCUGAAGGUGAAUGCAUUGCAUUUUACAAAGUUCUGAAACUAUUGACACAUUAAUUUUUUUAAACUCUAUUCCUUUAAAGCUUGUUGGCACCUCACUUUGUGUUUUUUUUUUUUGUUGACAUGGGUUUCCUGCCCUGGUGUGAAUGCCCAUUUGAAUAUAUGGGAAAGAAGCAUCUACUCUAUUGGGUAUCUGAGAGGGGGAACAUAUCUCAACCAUUCCAGAUCAAUGCUUUCAUGGUCUCCAACCAGUCUGUUCAAGAAUUCCUGCAGAUUUUUUCAAGUACUUUUAAAUUUGCUGCAAAGGUGAUCUGAAACAUUUUGGGUUAGGAAGACUCCUAUCACAGAAUCCACCACAGAUCCUUUCCAUUGUGAGAAGCGCCUAUCUCCUGCAUGGUUUUACGAAAUCUUUGGUCAGCAUACAUGCAGACAUCUACAAUACUCAAGUGAAGAGCAUACACUGACAAUUCAGGUGGUUUUUGCUGGGGUGUCUUGUUCAGAUCUAUGCCCUGGUCACUUCCCCUUUCAGAGUCCUUUUUUCCCUCUAUUGUUGUGGAAAUGACAGCAGAUGAUGAAUCGACAAUGUUCUAAGUUGGUACUGGGGAAAUCUGCUUGUCCUCCAUCUUCUUGGUUUGAUCUGGUGCUGCUGGCAUGGAUGGGAAUGAGGUGGCGAUAUGGGAGGCUGCAUCAACUUCUGUCCUUGCUGGUGAGUUCAUAUUGGACAUUGGUUUGCAAGGUACGGGAAAUCCAUCUGUAAAAAGGAAAAUAAGAGAUUCAAAUGAAAUCUUAGUUGCAUAAAAUUUUGUUCAACAGAUUUAAUCACUUACAUUCGGCCAUCUGGAGGAAGCUGUCG